rnacentral:sRNA from 1 species
UUCGCUUCUCGGCCUACAGGCUAAAAUCAAAGUGUGUUAGCUGUCUUUUUCAGCUUCAUAUCCGAAAGCUCCCGCACUGCGGUACCAGUAGGUACUCACUUUAGCUUACCGAAGUCUAAUGCCGGACAUAGGUCAGAUAUUAAAGCGCGAACUCAUGUAUUUUGUGCAGGUAGUAGGUACUAGGUAUAUUAAACUGAUUUUUGGAAAAUUAUGGGGAAGUUAGGGGCUCGCUCCACUCCCUUCACGGGUCGGCCCGACAUUU